rnacentral:rRNA from 1 species
CCUACGGGAGGCAGCAGUGGGGAAUUUUGCGCAAUGGGGGAAACCCUGACGCAGCGACGCCGCGUGGAGGAUGAAGGCCCUUGGGUCGUAAACUCCUGUCAGGUGGGAAGAAAAGCCUUCGGUAAACAGCCGAGGGUCUUGACUGUACCACCGGAGGAAGCCCCGGCUAACUCCGUGCCAGCAGCCGCGGUAAUACGGAGGGGGCAAGCGUUGUUCGGAAUCAUUGGGCGUAAAGGGCGCGUAGGCGGCCGAACAAGUCGGGUGUGAAAUCCCUCGGCUCAACCGAGGAACUGCACUCGAUACUGUUUGGCUAGAGUCCGGGAGGGGAUGGUGGAAUUCCCAGUGUAGCGGUGAAAUGCGUAGAGAUGUGGAGGAACACCAGUGGCGAAGGCGACUCUCUGGUCUGUAACUGACGCUGAGGCGCGAAAGCGUGGGGAGCAAACAGGAUUAGAUACCCUGGUAGUCCACGCCGUAAACGAUGAGUGCUAAGUGUUAGAGGGUUUCCGCCCUUUAGUGCUGCAGCUAACGCAUUAAGCACUCCGCCUGGGGAGUACGGCCGCAAGGCUGAAACUCAAAGGAAUUGACGG